UACGUAGGGGGCAAGCGUUGUCCGGAAUCAUUGGGCGUAAAGAGCGUGUAGGCGGUCCUGUCAGUCGGUUGUGAAAGUCAAGGGCUCAACCCUUGAAUGCCGGCCGAUACUGCCGGGCUAGAGUCCGGAAGAGGUGAGUGGAAUUCCUGGUGUAGCGGUGAAAUGCGCAGAUAUCAGGAGGAACACCAGUGGCGAAGGCGACUUCCUGGCCUGUUCUUGACGCUGAGACACGAAAGCCAGGGGAGCAAACGGG
rnacentral:rRNA from 1 species